CAGUGCAAACUCGUCUUUUCAAUUCCACAUAUUCCGUUUCUGACUUGAGAAAUGUGUUUCUAAAGCGUCUGGUCUCGUUAACCACGAUGAUGAGUUGUGAUAUUCCCUUCUGAACAUGAAGCUGACAGAGAAUAAUGAUUCAGGUCAUAUGUUCUCUGUCAUUGAUGAUUGUUCUUUGCUUCUCUGUGGAGCAUUGAUGAAGGGAAUAUGAUCAGAGUGGC